rnacentral:tRNA from 1 species
GUGGAUGUGGCUCAAGCGGUAGCGCGCUCGCCUGGCAUGCGCGGGGCCUGGGGUUAGAUCCUCAGCACCACA